GACCAUGGCUCAGGAUGAACGCUAGCUACAGGCUUAACACAUGCAAGUCGCGGGGCAGCAUGAAGUCAGCUUGCUGACUUUGAUGGCGACCGGCGCACGGGUGAGUAACGCGUAUCCAACCUGCCUGUUACCACGGCACAGCCCGUCGAAAGGCGGAUUAAUGCCGUAUGUGGUCUUGAAAGGGCAUCUGAUCAUGACUAAAGGUUCAGCGGUAACGGAUGGGGAUGCG
rnacentral:rRNA from 1 species